rnacentral:rRNA from 1 species
UACGAAGGGGGCGAGCGUUGUUCGGAUUUACUGGGCGUAAAGGGCGCGUAGGCGGCGGGUCAAGUCGAGUGUGAAAGCCCCGGGCUCAACCUGGGAAUUGCAUUCGAUACUGGAUAGCUAGAGUUCGGCAGAGGGAAGCGGAAUUUCCGGUGUAGCGGUGAAAUGCGUAGAUAUCGGAAGGAACAUCAGUGGCGAAAGCGGCUUCCUGGACCAGAACUGACGAUCAGGCUCGAAAGCGUGGGGAGCAAACAGG